UACGUAAAAGACUAGUGUUAUUCAUCUUUAGUAGGUUUAAAGGGUACCUAGACGGUAUAAUUAGUCUUAAACAAGAAACGGUUAUGCUAGAGUUAUAUAUGAGAAGGGGAGUAUUUAUGGAGUAGAGUUGAAAUUCUUUGAUCCCAUAACGACUGGUAGCGGCGAAAGCAACCUUUUAUCUAAUAACCGACGUUGAGGGACGAAGGCUCGGGUCACGAACAGG
rnacentral:rRNA from 1 species